rnacentral:rRNA from 1 species
UACAGAGGGGGCAAGCGUUGUUCGGAAUUACUGGGCGUAAAGGGCGCAUAGGCGGCCUGCUAAGUCGAACGUGAAAUCCCUGGGCUCAACCCAGGAACUGCGUCCGAUACUGGUUGGCUUGAAUCCGGGAGAGGGACGUGGAAUUCCAGGUGUAGCGGUGAAAUGCGUAGAUAUCUGGAGGAACACCGGUGGCGAAGGCGACGUCCUGGACCGGUAUUGACGCUGAGGCGCGAAAGCCAGGGGAGCAAACGGG